rnacentral:tRNA from 2 species
GCCCCUGUGGCUCAGUGGUUAGAGUAGCGGUUUUGUAAACCGUUGGUCGGGAGUUCGAAUCUCCCCAGGGGCU